GAUGAAGAACGUAGCGAAAUGCGAUAAGUAAUGUGAAUUGCAGAAUUCAGUGAAUCAUCGAAUCUUUGAACGCAUCUUGCGCUCCUUGGUAUUCCUUGGAGCAUGCCUGUUUGAGUAUCAUGAGCAAAUCUCAAAGUCAAUUCCUUUUGUUGAUUCAAUUGGUUUUGCUUUGGACUUGGAGGCCUUGCAGAUUUCACAGUCUGCUCCUCUUAAAUGCAUUAGCUGGAUCUCAGUAAUUAUGCUUGGUUACACUCGGCGUGAUAAGUAUCACUCGCUGAGGACACUGUUAAAAAGGUGGCCAGGAAAAUACUGAUUGAACCGCUUCUAACGGUCUAUUAAGUUAGACAAUUACCCUUAAGUUUGAUCUCAAAUCAGGUAGGACUACCCGCUGAACUUAAGCAUAUCAAUAGCGGAGGA
rnacentral:misc_RNA from 1 species